UACGUAGGUGGCAAGCGUUGUCCGGAAUUACUGGGUGUAAAGGGUGUGUAGGCGGCUUUUCAAGUCAGAGGUUAAAGGUAUGGGCUCAACCCAUACAUGCCUUUGAAACUGAGGGCUUGAGUGUCGGAGAGGUAAGCGGAAUUCCCAGUGUAGCGGUAAAAUGCGUAGAUAUUGGGAGGAACACCAGUGGCGAAGGCGGCUUACUGGACGACAACUGACGCUGAGACACGAAAGCGUGGGGAGCAAACAGG
rnacentral:rRNA from 1 species